GGGCGGUUAGCUCAGCGGGAGAGCGCUACCUUCACACGGUAGAAGUCACUGGUUCGAUCCCAGUACCGCCCACCA
rnacentral:tRNA from 1 species